UGGUCCCACCUGAUCCCAUGCCGAACUCAGAAGUGAAACGCCGUAGCGCCGAUGGUAGUGUGGGGUCUCCCCAUGCGAGAGUAGGACACUGCCAGGCA
rnacentral:rRNA from 3 species